rnacentral:rRNA from 1 species
UACGGAGGGAGCUAGCGUUGUUCGGAAUUACUGGGCGUAAAGCGCGCGUAGGCGGCCUUGCAAGUUAGAGGUGAAAGCCCGGAGCUCAACUCCGGAACUGCCUUUAAAGCUGCAUAGCUUGAAUCCGGGAGAGGUGAGUGGAAUUCCGAGUGUAGAGGUGAAAUUCGUAGAUAUUCGGAAGAACACCAGUGGCGAAGGCGGCUCACUGGACCGGUAUUGACGCUGAGGCGCGAAAGCGGGGGGAGCAAACAGG